ensembl:lncRNA
GUCAAAUUUAGAUCUUGAAUUCUAAAGGUGUGUGAAUUUCAUUUUUACUUACUUUUGUUGAGUUUCUAGGACUUUACCAUCGUGUAGAUUUACUUGCACUAACUGUGGCCUAUGAAGAAGUCCGUCCAAGUUCAGAUGAAAAUGUCACCGGACGGAGAUGUGAUGGAGACAAAAUUCAACAAUGUUUCUGUCCACGUAUAUGUGUCAAAGAGGAAAUCAGAUACACCAAGAAGGGUUGUGUGUUAUCCAUGGUGGUGGCUGGUGUUCUGGAAGUGGUGCUAGGUGGAUUCUUUGAGAGAUGUCUAUCACUGGAGUAGAUUGCAAAUGUUUUACUAAGGCUUUAUAUUGUGCUUUUCAGCAAAGAUUAUGAAGCUGGUGAAAAAAUUACUGAUGAAAUGUGUAGAACAAAAAUUGUAAAGAACAAUUAGAAAUUUCAGUGGGAAAGUCCAAUUCCACUGUGUUGUAGAUAUGUAUUUUCUUAAGCUUUAUGUAAUUAUGACCUGAGAUCAAGAUGGACAGCAAAGAAACGUGAUGCUAUUUUAUCAAGCAAAUAGCAGCUGCAUUGUUUUAUUUGAAGGUUUCACCGACCAAGAUUCUCUAAGCACUUAGCCGGCUGAUGCAUGAUGAUACCAAAAAUAAAUGUUCCUCAAUGAUAUUGAAGGAAUUAAAAAAAACUAUCUCUAUCCUGAUUAUUAUGCAGGAAAAACAUCUGUUUGGGGUUGUGUGAGGGUGAGUGGUUGGAGUCCGUACCCUUUUACUGCUGGACCCACAUGUAUUUGUUCUUUGG